UCGACUACAUGAAGCCGGAAUCGCUGUAAUCGCGGAUCAGAAUGCCGCGGUGAAUACGUUCCCGGGUCUUGUACACACCGCCCGUCACACCAUGGGAGCCGGAAAUGCCCGAAGUCUGUGAGCCAACAAACGAGGCAGCAGUCGAAGGUAGAAUCAAUGAUUGGGGUGAAGUCGUAACAAGGUAUC
rnacentral:rRNA from 1 species